GACAGAGGUGCCAAGCGUUAGGCGGAAUCACUGGGCUUAAAGCGUGUGUAGGCGGAAUGGUAAGUACCUUGUGAAAUCCCACGGCUCAACCGUGGAACUGCCUGGUAUACUGCUUUUCUUGAGCCACUUAGGGGCAACCGGAACAAACGGUGGAGCGGUGAAAUGCGUAGAUAUCGGGAGGAACACCUGUGGCGAAGGCGGCCCCCUGGUUGGAUACUGACGCUGAUACGCGAAAGCGUGGGGAGCAAACAGG
rnacentral:rRNA from 1 species